AUGUUAGACCAUAAAGAAGCUAUCAUAUCUCAUUUAAGUUGGGCUAGCCUCUUUCUAGGAUUCCAUACCUUGGGCCUUUAUGUUCAUAACGACGUCAUGCUUGCUUUUGGUACUCCAGAAAAGAAAAUCUUGAUCGAACCUAUAUUUGCCCAAUGGAUACAAUCUGCUCAUGGCAAGACGACAUAUGGGUUCGAUAUACUCUUAUCUUCAAUGAAUGGCCCCGCUUUCAAUGCGGGUCGAAGCCUAUGGUUGCCCGGAUGGUUGAAUGCUGUUAAUGAGAAUAGUAAUUCGCUUUUCUUAACAAUAGGACCUGGGGAUUUUUUGGUUCAUCAUGCUAUUGCUCUAGGUUUGCAUACAACUACAUUGAUUUUAGUAAAGGGCGCUUUAGAUGCACGCGAUUCCAAAUUAAUGCCAGAUAAAAAGGAUUUUGGAUAUAGUUUUCCUUGUGACGGCCCAGGGCGCAGCGGUACUUGUGAUAUUUCUGCUUGGCACGCAUUUUAUUUGGCAGUUUUCUGGAUGUUAAAUACCAUUGGGUGGGUUACUUUUUAUUGGCAUUGGAAACAUAUCACAUUAUGGCAGGGCAACGUUUCACAAUUUAAUGAAUCCUCCACUUAUUUGAUGGGAUGGUUAAGAGAUUACCUAUGGUUAAACUCUUCACAACUUAUCAGUGGAUAUAAUCCUUUUGGGAUGAAUAGUUUAUCGGUAUGGGCGUGGAUGUUCUUAUUUGAACAUCUUGUUUGGGCUACUGGAUUUAUGUUCUUAAUUUCCUGGCGGGGGUAUUGGCAGGAAUUAAUUGAGACUUUAGCAUGGCUCAUGAACGCACACCUUUAG
rnacentral:rRNA from 1 species